CAAAUAAGGGGAUCCGUCGCUAUUAAGCAGGGUUUCAAUCCCGUUUAGUAGAGGAACUUCCCGACUUCCCGUCCGUCAGUGAUGGCGGGCAAGGUUGCCUCAUGAAACAGUAAGUGAGGGCGGGUCGUAGGUAACUACGUCCGACUACAACCGCAACAGAGAGCAGUCCCGCCAACGGUUCACCUUGGGUGGAUACGGGUAAGGGGUGAAAGGGUGCGGUAAGAGCGCACCAGCGAUAUCAGCAAUGAUGUCGGCUAGGCGAGCGUGUAACUGGAAGCAAGGUGAGUGGGCCGGGCCAUGUGUUCGGUCUCAUCGCAGUGGCGACAGUGAGGUCGAGUCACACUCGACGAAUUAGGAGCAACCAUUGGGCUUGGCCUGAUGAGACAGAUGGCGGUUAAAACAGAAUCGGGAGUACGACCUUAUUUGAUUG
rnacentral:RNase_P_RNA from 1 species